UUUAUACCAACUUUUGGCAUCUGUAUUUUUAGUUAAGCUCAUAAAUCAUUAUACUACUUUAUGUGCAAUUAUUAUUGACUAAUGUGUGUUCACCUUUCAAAUCUUCUUUCAUGGAGAUGUGCAGUGACUAAUGUUUGCGAUUUUCUUAUGAGAUCUAUUUAUUUACAUGAGUGCUCUUUUCUGAUGUGUUAAUUGAUACAUUCCAUGUGAUUGCAGUGAUGAUGAUAGUGAAUUUGACCCUGGGAAUGAAAGGACUUGUUCAUGCACAAUAAUGUAGUUUGGGUUUCUAUUAGGACAUCUUAUGGGCUUGGCUUCUUUAAGAAGGCAACGAAUGAAAUGUUUGCUCAAAAUUCCACCGAGUAAAGAUCAACUUAUCAGUGCUUUGCAUUGCAAUUGGAGCAACACAGGAGAUUUUUUGGGCCCAAAAAACGGAGAUUAUAUCCCUCCCUGGCUUUUGUUGAUUGAUCUUUUGCAUUUAUAUUCUUGCUUGAAUUUCAAUUUCAUCUAUUUUUCUCAUCUUGAUUUGGAAUAUUAUGUCUUUUCUUCUGCUGGGAGGCUGAAUCGAAUUAUGAUUCUGUAUGUUAGUUGCAGAUGUCAAUAUGCAGUAGGAUUGUAACUCAAAACCAAUGUAUAGCUUCUGUGCACUUACUAUGAAAAGCAGAAGUUACCUGUGGGUUGCAACUAAUAGCAUUUCACUGCUUUCCUUAGCGAUUUUGUGAGGGGUUGACUUUUAUCUUUUCAGGAUUGCCAGUGUGUAUUAAUCAAACAUAUAUUGCUUAUUGACUGGAAAAUUACUGUUUUAGUUUUUACUAUUACUUCUCUAUUUUACAAAGAUCAUGUGCUCUUAAAGUGAUGUUC
rnacentral:lncRNA from 1 species